rnacentral:rRNA from 1 species
UACGUAGGGGGCUAGCGUUGUCCGGAAUCAUUGGGCGUAAAGCGCGUGUAGGCGGUCCGGUAAGUCCGCUGUGAAAGUCGGGGGCUCAACCCUCGAAUGCCGGUGGAUACUGUCGGGCUAGAGUGCGGAAGAGGCGAGUGGAAUUCCAGGUGUAGCGGUGAAAUGCGUAGAUAUCUGGAGGAACACCGGUGGCGAAGGCGGCGUUCUGGACUGCAACUGACACUGAGAGACGAAAGCCAGGGGAGCAAACGGG